GCGCCCUCGCUCUCGGGUAUAGACAACAGCGGGGAGGGAGUGAAACCGUGCAGGGCCAGUGGCGCAAUGGAUAACGCGUCUGACUACGGAUCAGAAGAUUGUGCUACAUGGGGUGCAGAAAAACAUGCUUGGCAACAGCUCCUGGCUUGGAGAGAGUGAACGUGUCUGAAAGUGUCCAAAUCUGUCUGCAUAGCAGGGGGAGAAUGGAAGUGAAGUUUUCUCCUUCAACAGAACCCCUAGACAUUCCCCUGUCCUGUUUCAUCAGGAGGAGUUGAAUAAAUGAGCAUCCUCCUGGGUCAGCCAAGCUGGAGUGUGAC